rnacentral:rRNA from 1 species
GUAAUUAAUACAAUACUUUCCGCCAGAGAACUACAAGUGAAAAACUUGAAACUCAAAGGACUUGACGGUGUCCCAUAUCGGCCUAGAGGAGCCUGUCCUAUAAUCGAUACCCCCCGUUCCACCCAACCCCAACUAGCAAAAUAUCAGCCUAUAUACCGCCGUCGACAGUCUACCCCAUGAGGGCUCAAUAGUAGACACAAUAGCCUUAACGCUAAUACGUCAGGUCAAGGUGUAGCAAAUGUUGAGGAAAAGAUUGGCUACAUUUUUUAUGAUAAAAAACACGAAUUGCACUAUGAAACACUGCAUGAAGGUGAAUUUAGUAGUAAAACAGACAAGAGUGUCUGUUUUAACAACGCUCUGGGACGCGU